UGUAAACCUCUUUUCUCAGGGAAUAAAAAAAUGAAGGUACCUGAGGAAUAAAGCAUCGGCUAACUCCGUGCCAGCAGCCGCGGUAAUACGGAGGAUGCAAGCGUUAUCCGGAAUGUUUGGGCGUAAAGCGUCCGCAGGUAGCACUGUAAAUCUGCUGUUAAAGAGCAAGGCUCACCCUUGUAAAGGCAGUGGAAACUACAGAGCUAGAGUACUUUCGGGGCAGAGGGAAUUCCUGGUGUAGCGGUGAAAUGCGUAGAGAUCAGGAAGAACACCGGUGGCGAAAGCGCUCUGCAAGGCCUUAACUGACACUGAGGGACGAAAGCUAGGGGAGCGAAUGGGAUUAGAUACCCCAGUAGUCCUAGCCGUAAACGAUGGAUACUAGGCGUGGCUUGUAUCGACCCGAGCCGUGCCGUAGCUAACGCGUUAAGUAUCCCGCCUGGGGAGUACGCACGCAAGUGUCAAACUCAAAGGAAUUGACGGGGGCCCGCACAAGCGGUGGAGUAUGUGGUUUAAUUUGAUGCAACGCGAAGAACCUUACCAAGACUUGACAUGUCGCGAAUCUCCUUGAAAGGGGAGAGUGCCUUAGGGAGCGCGAACACAGGUGGUGCAUGGCCGUCGUCAGCUCGUGUCGUGAGAUGUUGGGUUAAGUCCCGCAACGAGCGCAACCCUCGUUUUUAGUUGCCAGCAUUAAGUUGGGCACUCUAGAGAGACUGCCGGUGACAAACCGGAGGAAGGUGGGGAUGACGUCAAGUCAGCAUGCCCCUUACGUCUUGGGCUUCACACGUACUACAAUGCUUCGGAUAAAGGGCAGCAAGCUAUCGAUAGUAAG
rnacentral:rRNA from 1 species